rnacentral:rRNA from 1 species
UCCAUGUGUAGCGGUGAAAUGCGUAGAUAUAUGGAGGAACACCAGUGGCGAAAGCGGCUCUCUGNUCCGUCACUGACGCUGAGGCUCGAAAGCGUGGGUAGCGAACAGGAUUAGAUACCCUGGUAGUNCACGCCGUAAACGAUGAGUGCUAGGUGUUAGGCCCUUUCCGGGGCUUAGUGCCGGAGCUAACGCAAUAAGCACUCCGCCUGGGGAGUACGACCGCAAGGUUGAAACUCAAAGGAAUUGACGGGGGCCCGCACAAGCGGUGGAGCAUGUGGUUUAAUUCGAAGCAACGCGAAGAACCUUACCAGGUCUUGACAUCCCGAUGCUAUUCUUAGAGAUAGGAAGUUACUUCGGUACAUCGGAGACAGGUGGUGCAUGGUUGUCGUCAGCUCGUGUCGUGAGAUGUUGGGUUAAGUCCCGCAACGAGCGCAACCCUUAUUGUUAGUUGCCAUCAUUAAGUUGGGCACUCUAGCGAGACUGCCGGUAAUAAACCGGAGGAAGGUGGGGAUGACGUCAAAUCAUCAUGCCCCUUAUGACCUGGGCUACACACGUGCUACAAUGGUCGGUACAACGAGUUGCGAGCCGGUGACGGCAAGCUAAUCUCUGAAAGCCGAUCUCAGUUCGGAUUGGAGGCUGCAACUCGCCUCCAUGAAGUCGGAAUCGCUAGUAAUCGCGGAUCAGCACGCCGCGGUAAAUACGUUCCCGGGCCUUGUACACACCGCCCGUCACACCACGAGAGUUUGUAACACCCGAAGUCGGUGAGGUANCCUUUUAGGG